GAUGAACGCUGGCUACAGGCUUAACACAUGCAAGUCGAGGGGAAACGGCGUUGAGUGCUCGCACUCUUCGGACGUCGACCGGCGCACGGGUGAGUAACGCGUAUCCAACCUUCCCGUCACUGCGGGAUAACCUGCCGAAAGGCAGACUAAUACCGCAUGGCCUUCACUGACGGCAUCAGAGGUGAAGUAAAGCUUUUUUUGCGGCGACGGACGGGGAUGCGUCUGAUUAGCUGGUUGGCGGGGCGACGGCCCACCAAGGCGACGAUCAGUAGGGGUUCUGAGAGGAAGGUCCCCCACAUUGGAACUGAGACACGGUCCAAACUCCUACGGGAGGCAGCAGUGAGGAAUAUUGGUCAAUGGGCGGAAGCCUGAACCAGCCAAGUAGCGUGCAGGACGACGGCCCUACGGGUUGUAAACUGCUUUUAUGCGGGGAUAAAGUGAGGGACGCGUCCCUUUUUGCAGGUACCGCAUGAAUAAGGACCGGCUAAUUCCGUGCCAGCAGCCGCGGUAAUACGGAAGGUCCGGGCGUUAUCCGGAUUUAUUGGGUUUAAAGGGAGCGUAGGCCGGGGAUUAAGUGUGUUGCGAAAUGUAGGCGCUCAACGUCUGAUGUGCAGCGCAUACUGGUCCCCUUGAGUACGCGCAACGCCGGCGGAAUUCGUCGUGUAGCGGUGAAAUGCUUAGAUAUGACGAAGAACCCCGAUUGCGAAGGCAGCCGGCGGGAGCGCAACUGACGCUGAAGCUCGAAGGUGCGGGUAUUGAACAGGAUUAGAUACCCUGGUAGUCCGCACGGUAAACGAUGGAUGCCCGCUCUCGGCGCCUGGCGCCGGGGGCCAAGCGAAAGCGUUAAGCAUCCCACCUGGGGAGUACGCCGGCAACGGUGAAACUCAAAGGAAUUGACGGGGGCCCGCACAAGCGGAGGAACAUGUGGUUUAAUUCGAUGAUACGCGAGGAACCUUACCCGGGCUUGAAUUGCAGAGGAACGAUUUAGAGAUAAUGACGCCCUUCGGGGUCUCUGCGACCGUGCUGCAUGGGUGUCGUCAGCCUGUGCCGUGAGGUGUCGGCGUAAGUGCCAUAGCGAGCGCAACCCCAUCUUCUAGUUUGCAUCGGGGUAUUGCCCGGGCACCCCUGAAAAAUCCUGCCACCCGAUAAGGGUUUGAGGAAAGGGUCGGGAAUACGUCUAAUUACCACGGG
rnacentral:rRNA from 1 species